rnacentral:sRNA from 1 species
GUUGACCACAACAUGGCUGCGGCGCCUGGGCUGCUCGUCUGGCUGCUCGUGCUCGGGCUGCCCUGGCGGGUGCCGGGCCCGCUGAACCCCAGCACUGGCCGGCGCUUCUCGGAGCACAAACUCUGCGCGGACGACGAAUGCAGCAUGUUAAUGUACCGCGGUGAGGCUCUUCAAGAUUUCACAGGCCCGGAUUGUCGUUUUGUGAAUUUUAAAAAAGGUGAUCCUGUAUAUGUUUACUAUAAACUGGCAAGAGGAUGGCCUGAAGUUUGGGCUGGAAGUGUUGGACACAUUUUUGGAUAUUUCCCAAAAGAUUUAAUCCAGGUAGUCCAUGAAUAUACCAAAGAAGAGCUACAAAUUCCAACAGAUGAGACGGAUUUUGUUUGUUUUGAUGGAGGACGAGAUGAUUUUCAUAAUUAUAAUGUAGAAGAACUUUUAGGGUUUUUGGAACUGUACAAUUCUGCAGCUACAGAUUCUGAGAAAGCUGUAGAAAAAACUUCACAGUAUAUGGAAAAAAACCCUGAAUUAGCUAAGGAAAGGGAACCUGAACCUGAACCAGUAGAAGCCAACUCAGAGGAAAGUGAUAGUGUAUUCUCAGAAAACACUGAGGAUCUUCAGGAACAGUUUACAACUCAGAAGCACCACUCCCAUGCAAACAGCCAAGCAGAUCAUGCUCAGGGAGAGCAGCCUUCAUUUGAAUCUUUUGAAGAAAUGCUGCAAGAUAAACUAAAAGUGCCAGAAAGUGAAAACAACAAAACCAGCAAUAGUUGUCAGGUCUCAAAUGAACAGGAUAAGAUUGAUGCCUAUAAACUUUUGAAAAAAGAAAUGACUUUAGACUUGAAAACCAAAUUUGGCUCAACAGCUGAUGCACUUGUAUCUGAUGAUGAGACAACCAGACUCGUUACUUCAUUAGAAGAUGAUUUUGAUGAGGAAUUGGAUGCUGAGUAUUAUGCAGUUGGAAAGGAGGAUGAGGAGAACCAAGAAGACUUUGAUGAAUUGCCAUUACUUACCUUUACAGAUGGGGAAGAUAUGAAAACUCCAGCAAAGUCUGGAGUUGAGAAAUAUCCAACAGAUAAAGAGCAGAAUUCAAAUGAAGAGGACAAGGUUCAGCUAACUGUGCCCCCUGGCAUCAAAAAUGAUGAUAAAAAUAUACUAACAACCUGGGGGGACACUAUCUUCUCUAUUGUCACAGGAGGUGAAGAAAAAAGAGAUACGAUGGAUUUAGAGAGCUCUAGUUCAGAGGAAGAAAAAGAAGAUGAUGAUGAUGCAUUAGUCCCAGAUAGCAAACAGGGGAAACCACAGUCAGCAACAGAUUAUAGUGACCCUGACAAUGUAGAUGAUGGUCUUUUUAUUGUAGACAUUCCUAAAACAAAUAAUGACAAAGAAGUAAACACAGAACAUCACAUUAAAGGAAAAGGGAGGGGAGUUCAGGAAUCCAAGAGGGGCCUGGUACAAGAUGAGACAGAAUUAGAGGAUGAAAAUCAAGAAGGCAUGACUGUGCACAGUUCUGUUCACAGCAAUAACCUCAACUCUGUGCCAGCUGCUGAAAAGAGUAAAGACACAUUAAAAUCAGCUUAUGAUGAUAAAGAAAAUGACCUAAAAGGAGCAGCUAUUCAUAUCUCAAAAGGAAUGCUCCACGAAGAAAAGCCUGGAGAGCAGAUUUUGGAAGGUGGCUCAGAGAGUGAAUCUGCACAGAAGGCUACAGGGAAUCAAAUGAAUGACAGAAAGAUUCAACAGGAAUGCUUGGGUAGUGCACCACUCAUGGGAGAUAACUACCCUAACGCAUCCAGAGACAGUGUGGAGGGAGACGCUUUGGUAAAUGGGGCCAAACUGCACACGCUUUUAGUGGAGCAUCAACAUGAGGAAUUGAAAGAGGAAUUAGUUCUUAAAACUCAAAACCAACCUAGAUUCUCCUCUCCAGAUGAGAUUGAUUUGCCCAGAGAACUGGAAGACGAGGUUCCCAUUCUGGGAAGAAAUCUUCCCUGGCAACAAGAAAGAGAUGUGGCUGCCACAGUCAAUAAGCAAACGAGUGAGAAGAUAAGGCUCUCUGAGGGAGAAGCCAAAGAGGACUCCUUGGAUGAAGAGUUUUUUCAUCACAAGGCAAUGCAGGGCAUAGAGGUAGGACAGACAGACCAAACUGACAGCACAGGAGGACCAGCUUUCCUUUCUGAAGUAGAAGAGGAUGAUUAUCCCUCUGAAGAACUGCUAGAGGAUGAAAAUGCUAUAAAUGCAAAACCAUCUAAAGAAAAAAACCCUGGGAACCAGGGCAGGCAGUUUGAUGUUAAUCUGCAAGUCCCUGACAGAGCAGUUUUAGGGACCAUUCAUCUAGAUCCAGAAAUUGAAGAAAGCAAGCAAGAAACUAGUAUGAUUUUGGAUAGUGAAAAAAAAAGUGAGACUGCUGCCAAAGGGGUCAACACAGGAGGCAGGGAACCAAAUACAAUGAUGGAAAAAGAACGCCCUCUGGCAGAUCAGAAAGCACAGAGACCAUUUGAAGGAAGUGACUUUUCUGACAGCAUAAAAACUCAGACUCCAGAAUUAGGUGAAGUGUUUCAGAAUAAAGAUUCUGAUUAUCUGAAGAACGACAACCCUGAGGAACAUCUGAAGACCUCAGGGCUUGCAGGGGAGCCUGAGGGAGAAAUCUCAAAAGAGGACCAUGAAAACACAGAGAAAUACAUGGGCACAGAAAGCCAGGGGUCUGCUGCUGCAGACCCUGAAGAUGACUCGUUCCACUGGACUCCACAUACAAGUGUAGAGGCAGAGCAUAGUGACAAGAGGGAGGACUUACUUAUCAUAAGCAGCUUCUUUAAAGAACAACAGUCUUUGCAGCGGUUCCAGAAGUACUUUAAUGUCCAUGAGCUGGAAGCCUUGCUACAAGAAAUGUCAUCAAAACUGAAGUCAGCGCAGCAGGAGAGCCUGCCCUAUAAUAUGGAAAAAGUCCUAGAUAAAGUCUUCCGUGCUUCUGAGUCACAAAUUCUGAGCAUAGCAGAAAAAAUGCUUGAUACUCGUGUGGCCGAAAAUAGAGAUCUGGGAAUGAAGGAAAAUAACAUAUUUGAAGAGGCUGCAGUGCUUGAUGACAUUCAAGACCUCAUCUAUUUUGUCAGGUACAAGCACUCCACAGCAGAGGAGACAGCCACACUGGUGAUGGCACCACCUCUAGAGGAAAGCUCGGUUGGAGCAAUGGAAGAGAUGCAUCCACUGCAUGAAGAUAAUUUCUCACAAGAGAAGACAGCAGAACUUAAUAUGCAGGUUCCUGAAGAACCCACCCACUUGGACCAACGUGUGAUUGGGGACACUCAUGCCUCAGAAGUGUCACAGAAGCCAAAUACUGAGAAAGACUUGGACUCAGGGCCAGUUACAACAGAAGACACUCCUAUGGAUGCUAUUGAUGCAAACAAGCAACUAGAGACAGCCGCCGAAGAGCCGGCAAGUGUCACACCUUUGGAAAACGCAAUCCUUCUAAUAUAUUCAUUCAUGUUUUAUUUAACUGAGUCGUUAGUUGCUACAUUGCCUGAUGAUGUUCAGCCUGGGCCUGAUUUUUAUGGACUGCCAUGGAAACCUGUACUUAUCACUGCCUUCUUGGGAAUUGCUUCGUUUGCCGUUUUCUUAUGGAGAACUGUCCUUGUUGUGAGUAAAUUAAUGCAUACUUUAACUCAUAAAUUCAAGUAUGGUUUUAUAAUCACAGUCGUUUUUCAGUUUCUAAUAUGAACAGAAAUCAAUGCUUUUAAUUCAAGCUAACCUUGUAAAAUAAUUUAGUAUAAUUUUUGUGUUGGUAAAUUCUUAAGUGAAUAAGAUAACAUGUAUAAUCUCAAUGGGAAAACUUCAGUUUAUAUGUCCCUUAUAUCAAAAUCUAAAUUUUAAGAAUUAGGUGAGUCUUUAUUUCAACUCACAAAGGAAAAAAAGAAAGAAUUAGAUAGGUCAUGUGUACACUGUUAGUAGAACUAGGAAUUCUUAGAGCCAUCCUGAAAAAUAGUUUCAUGAUGUGUAUGAUAAGCCUUAAAAAUGGUUAUAUCCUUUUAUAUUGUAUUAAUAUCACGUCUAGUAAUCGAUCCUAAAGAAAUAACCAAUCG